CCUGCUAUCUUAAACAUAGGCUGAACAUCCUUGGAUCUCAAAAUAAUCAGGAUUCAUUUCUUACCAUGCCAUUUCUCAUACGGUGUGGUAUGAACAGGUUUAGAGAGAACUCAAUUUUAUAGAAAUAAAAUAUAUCCUUAAAGAAAUAAAAUAAAUCAAUGAAUUUCAUCAUGGAUUGGACCAUAUCACAUAUAGUCCCAUGACUCUUCUUAUCUCGUUGAGUUGAGAUGUACUAAGAGCAGUCC
rnacentral:lncRNA from 1 species